UUUUUUUUUCCUAAGGGAUUUCUCAGAGAAGAAGGGUAUGCUGUGGACUGUAGCCCUAUUUGUAGCUUUCCUUGCUCCUGGAAGUCAAGUGUCUGCCAACCCAGGACAAACCAUGACACUGGUCUCCCAGUCAGCUAGGUCAUCGCCUAUAAUCACUUGUGGGCUUUCUAAACAAAACGACUUCAUGCACUGGUACCGGUACCAGGAGGGAAAGGCCCCACAACGCCUUUUCUACUAUAAGUUCUCUACCUCCUCUGCUGUGAUGGAUUCAGGAGUCAGUCCAGGAAAAUAUCAUGUUUAUGAAGAUUCAGCAAACAGAUGUAAACUUGUAAUACGCAAUCUGGAAGAAAGUGAUUCUGGAGUGUAUUACUGUGCCACCUGGGCUGGCACAGUGGUUCAGACCUGCCCAAAGCCACACUGAAAAUGUGCCUGUGGUUGUUUCUAGGACCCCAGAUACACUGUCCUCCUCCACCCCUCACUUCCUGCUUCUCACUCCAC